GGUCCCUUGGUCUAGUCUGGUCUAGGAUGUCGCACUUUCAUUGCGAAGGUCGCGGGUUCAAAUCCCGCAGGGACUGCAA
rnacentral:tRNA from 1 species